GCUGCUACAGGAUGUGUCGUUGCAGUGUCAGCCCCUUACUCGAUCCCGUUGCUUGUCAUCUCAGCCGUUGGAGGAGCGGCAUUCACAUACUGGCGUAACUCUGCAGAUAAAGAAAACUGGACAGUUGAAAGACAAAUUGAAUACAUUCAAAAUUGCUGUGCUGCACAUAUUCAUAUUCAAUUUAAAAAGAAAUAUAAAAGUGAAUGGUGCCAAGACAAAUUGGAUAAGGAGAUUUAUGAUUAUCUUAGAAAACUCCUUGAAAAACACAGAGGCCAACAUAUCAAAACAACGAAUAAAAACAUCACAGCACUACAAAAACAACUAGAGAAGGUGAAGUUCGACGACAACCUCUCAAAAGAAAUAAAUCGACUGGAAGAAUUCGAAAGGAUCUAUCUUCCUGAAAAUGUAGAGUC